GGUCUGAGAGGAUGAUCAGCCACAUUGGGACUGAGACACGGCCCAAACUCCUACGGGAGGCAGCAGUGGGGAAUAUUGGACAAUGGGCGCAAGCCUGAUCCAGCCAUGCCGCGUGAGUGAUGAAGGCCUUAGGGUUGUAAAGCUCUUUCACCGGAGAAGAUAAUGACGGUAUCCGGAGAAGAAGCCCCGGCUAACUUCGUGNNGGCCGGAAGGGUAAUACGAAGGGGGCUAGCGUUGUUCGGAAUUACUGGGCGUAAAGCGCACGUAGGCGGAUAUUUAAGUCAGGGGUGAAAUCCCAGAGCUCAACUCUGGAACUGCCUUUGAUACUGGGUAUCUUGAGUAUGGAAGAGGUAAGUGGAAUUCCGAGUGUAGAGGUGAAAUUCGUAGAUAUUCGGAGGAACACCAGUGGCGAAGGCGGCUUACUGGUCCAUUACUGACGCUGAGGUGCGAAAGCGUGGGGAGCAAACAGGAUUAGAUACC
rnacentral:rRNA from 1 species